UUUAUUCUCACGCAUUGCUUCAUUUCCUAUAGGAGCCGGGCAUGGUAAUGUUCUUGAGAAUGGCAAAGGAAUGAAAACACGAGGUGACCUUCAGCAAAUCCCUCUCUUCUCUUUCAAUCCAGGUCUUUCAAGCCAGAGUCACAGUUUGAAGAAUAAAUUAUACGGUCACCCUAUCCAGGAGGGUUGAACGCUGCAGAUGCUGUCUGGAAACCAAGACUGUCAAUGUCACAGCUUGUCAGGCCUCACACAAUUGCUAUUUGGAAACCAUCUAUGGACAAGAGAAAGUGUGCACACAGAGAGGGUGUGCAUUCAAAAUCAGCAAAGCAUUCAACUUGUCUCUUUGUCUGCUCCAAAUAGGACAGAGCUGCCUAAUAACUCCUUAGCACAGCCUUCAAGACCUACAUUUCUGGCUAUAACCUACUUCUCUAAUUUCUUCUGUUACCUUCCUGUAUUGCUCGAUUUUUACACUGCUCUAAGAACUACCUGAAACUGGAUAAUUUAUGAUGAAGAGAGGUUUAAUUGGCUCACAGUUCCUCAUGGCUGGGGAGGCCUCAGGAAACUUACAAUCAUGGCAGCGGCAAGGGGAAAGCAGAUACCUUCUUCACAAGGCGGCAGGAGAGAGUGGGGGAACUGCUACACACUUUUAAACCAUCAGGUCUCGUGAGAACUCACUCACUAUGAAGAGAACAGCAUGGGGGAAACCACUUUGUGAUCCAAUCACCUCCCACCAGGUCCCUCCCUCGACACAUGGGAAUCACAAUUCGAGAUAAGAUUUGGGUGGGGACACGGAGCCAAACCAUAUCACUUUCUUUCCCUUAACCUCAUGCAACAUAGACAAAAAAGUAUUACCCUCACCCUAUUUAGAACAGAUAGACAAGUAAACGGAUGAUGGGUGAACACCCGGGUGGGGAAACAAGGGGAGCACCCUGCUGAGAAUGGUCAUGUGCAUCUUAAGAAUGCGUUAUUUCUCAUUUCAUUUCCUUCUUAACAAGCUCCCUGGUCUGGGAUAUCAGUAAGAUUCAGUAGGUGAAAUGAACCCAUUCAAAAGCUAGACAUUUGGCCCAGCACAGUGGCUCACGUCUGUAGUCCCAGCAAUUUGAGAGGCCGAGGCAGGUGGAUCGCUUGAGGCCAGGAGUUUGAGACCAGCCUGGCCAAUGUGGUAAAACCUCGUCUCUACCAAAAAAUACAAAAAUUAGCCAGGCAUGGUGGCGCAUGCCUGUAAUCCCAGCUAUUCCAGAGGCUGAGGUGGGGGAAUCGCUUGAUCCCAGGAGGCAGAGGUUGCGGUGAGCCAAGAUCGUG
rnacentral:lncRNA from 1 species